AUCGCUUCUCGGCCUUUUGGCUAAGAUCAAGUGUGUGUUGAAACAAUGAUUUAGCGGUGGAAUGUCGCAAACGCUGAUUAGCUAACCAGUCUAUUUUUUAAUGACAGCAUGCAAAAUAUUGCUACGCAAUUUGUAUAGUCAUUAUUUAAAAAAAACUACACAUGAAAAGUAAAUCAUGC
ensembl:snRNA U2 U2 spliceosomal RNA